UUUUGGACAAUGGGCGCAAGCCUGAUCCAGCCAUUCCGCGUGAGUGAAGAAGGCCUUCGGGUUGUAAAGCUCUUUCGCAAGGGAAGAAAGAUUACUCUCUAAUAUAGAGUGAUUAUGACGGUACCUUGAUAAGAAGCACCGGCUAACUACGUGCCAGCAGCCGCGGUAAUACGUAGGGUGCGAGCGUUAAUCGGAAUUACUGGGCGUAAAGCGUGCGCAGGCGGUUUUGUAAGUCAGAUGUGAAAUCCCCGAGCUCAACUUGGGAACUGCGUUUGAAACUACAAGACUAGAAUAGGUCAGAGGGGGGUAGAAUUCCACGUGUAGCAGUGAAAUGCGUAGAGAUGUGGAGGAAUAUCAAUGGCGAAGGCAGCCCCCUGGGAUCAUUCGACGCUCAUGCACGAAG
rnacentral:rRNA from 1 species